rnacentral:lncRNA from 1 species
CUGGCCUUCUCGCGGCUUUCCCCCGAUAUCUCUCUUUAUUCCAGCUGCCUGAAACUCGGUCCCACGAAUGGCAGGCAGCGUCCAAAAUUCAACCCCGUAAAGCCAGCACCAGCCAAUAAAGCGCACGGAUGGAGGCCACGUGACAGCAGUGGGCCGGCCCUCCGGCUGAGCCCUGAUCUCUAUGGUUUCCGCGGCUCGCUAGAAGGAGUGUGGUCCACCGGAGGACUCCCUACAUUCUUCCUCCAUUACCUCACUGCCUCCGGUGGCUGCUGGGAUACCGGAGGACUCGGGUCCCGGCUCGACUCAGUCCUCCAGCCGCCCGGGGAAUACCUCUAGUUCUUCCCGGCCGCCGCCGCCGCCGCCGCCCCGCCGCUUCCUCCUCCGCCUGCCGGCCUCCUUCGCCCCGUCCCGUCCGCGCAGCGCGUCCGGCCCGCCCGCAGGCCAGCUUCUCUCGGGAGCCCCCACCCAGGCGCAUGGCUCCAUGAAGCAAGAGGAGGAGGCAGAGCGCGAGAGGUCCCGUCCGCCCCAGCCGCGUCUGGGCCAGGAUAAAAGCAAAACCAUAUUCCUGCUGCUGUCAGUUAUGAUGCACUGAGAAAACUUCAGAGACCUAAACUUUUUCCAGAGAAGAGAAGCUUUACUGGUGUUCCAGCCCUAAGAAACCUUUGUUCAAGAAAACGGCAGAUGCUCUGUUGAAUCCACUGGAGAUUGUUCUGAUACUAAGGACAACAACCAUCUUUCCUGUGAAAAAUUCCCUCUCGUACUUUAGUUCUGUGGAUCCAAAAUUUAUAGCAUUCUUCUACCACCACAGGGGCUCAUAUGACAUUAACAGACAAGACACUUUUCAGAAAGACAGGUAAGUCAUUUGUUAAAAUCUCACUACUGUUGUUUAACAGAAACAUAUAUAUGCAUGUAUAUGUGUGUACUGUAUGGAAAAAGUGGAAUUAGAGUUUAUCUAGAAAAGAAAAAAUUACCUCAUCUAAGUGCAGAAAUGAAUAAUACUUAAACCAUACCAUACAAUUCUCUAUCAUAUUUCCACAGAUAAGUCAAAAAUUUAAAAAAUCUUAUUGUUCAUGCAUAAAUGCAGAAAACAAUACCUCUAGUAUAUGUUUGUGUUCUAUUGUACUUUCACAGAAGGUGUUUGAUACUUAAUACUGUGUUUAUUAAGAAAAAUCUUUGCAAUGGUUAUGGAAUUAAAAUUUCAUGUAAAAAUGAUUAUGUAGAUCAAGAAAAGUUGCAAUUUUCUGGAUUCCUGAUAUUUUAAAUAAAAGUAGUUUCCAAA